AGGAUCUCACUAAUUAAACAAAGAAUAUGCAUAUGUGCUAACCCUAUCUAUGUUCACAGCUUUAAACAUGCCCACCUAUAACCAUGUAUCUAAAUGAAACUGGAAUUAGUUCCCCAUGAUGUCACAUCUCCAACUCUAAUCCAUCGCUGCCAUAUGGAUCAUCUAGCCCUUGUCUGUCUGUAACUUCCCACUCCAGUGGGGAGGAAACUGGCUGUCACCAUCUGCCAUGGGUUUAUGUCAUUGUUGGCUUCCAGUGAACAUGGAUAGCAGAUUCAGGAUCCCUCACCUGCACCCCUGCCAUGGGACCCCUUAUUUGGAAUUGCAGACUCAUUGUUGGUGAGAGCCAACUCACAUUGAAGGAACAAGGCAUCUCCCAUGGACAUCAUGAUAAGAGCACAAAUCCACUCACAAGGCAGUACUCUUAAGAUCUGGCCAUCCCCUAAAGACAGACAUAGCUGUAGCCUGAAGCUUUUCUAUCUGGCCUCUUUGCUCACAGAAUAACGACUCUAAGACUUAUUUACUUAUGAAUAAACACUUAAUCC